CCCUUAGAUGUUCUGGGCUGCACGCGCGCUACACUGAAGCGUUCAACGAGUAUUCACCUUGCCCGGGAGGGUUGGGUAAUCUUUUGAAAACGCUUCGUGAUGGGGAUAGAUUAUUGCAAUUAUUAAUCUUCAACGAGGAAUUCCUAGUAAGCGCGAGUCAUCAGCUCGUGCUGAUUACGUCCCUGCCCUUUGUACACACCGCCCGUCGCUACUACUGAUUGGACGUUUAAGCAAGAUUUUUAAACACUGACAGUUAAUGGCUUCGGCCAAGACACAGUGAGAAGAAGAAGAUCGAGCUUACUUGUCUAGAGGAAGUAAAAGUCGUAACA
rnacentral:rRNA from 1 species